rnacentral:lncRNA from 10 species
GGCGCGCAGGCGGCGCGGGUGCGCGGUGCGGCGCUGGUAUCCAGAGGACGCGGUCACCGCCUCUGGCAUUUGUCGUUCUGCGCUUCUCCGCAAGGACCCUCUGUUAGGCAGGCGCCCACCGUAAGCCUCCCGGGCCUUGUGAACCUGCUCUUUGGCCUUGGAUGGAAAGUGGGGAAUUGGGUGGGGGGCUGCGGACCCCUUAACGUGGAUUACUUGGUGUGUAUCAGCUGGGCUCAGAAGACCCACGACCUCUUCUCCAUCCGUGGAUUGAUUUGUUCUGCUUAACAGCUGGGUCGCCAAGCUGGAGGUAUUUUUCCCUCUCCACCCUGGUCUUCUCCUGUAACGUGUGGCCGCCUUUUCCAGCACGGCCUCCUGCCUUCCUGGUGCACUUUUUGGAGAACGUGGUGGAAUCAGAGGUUUCUGGCUGACUCGGUGGGUGCUUUGAACCAGGAAAGGACAAGAAAGAGGAUGGGAAGGACUGAUCCACAUUCCCACCAGGAAGUUUAGCAGAACCCCCGCGUGCCACCUGGACCCCUUGGAAGGACCUGGCUCAGGCUGGACCACCUCUUGAGAGGCAGGAGCUCUGGAUUUGAUCAAGAAUUCUUUGCUGAGCAUGGUGCCUCAUGCCUAUAAUCCCAACACUUUGGGAGGCCAGUGUGGGAGGAUCUCUUGAGCCCAGGAGUUCAAGACUAGCCUGGGCAACACAGAGAGACCCCAUCUCUAAAAUAAUAAUAAUAAUAAAAUAAAAAAUUAGCAGGGCAUGGUGGCAUGUGCCUGUAGUCCCAGCUACCCAGGAGGCUGAGGCAAGAGGAUGGCUGGAGCCUGGGAUGUUGAGGCUGCAAUGAACUGUGAUUACCCCACUGCACUCCAGCCUGGGCAAAAGAGCGAGAGACCCUGUCUCAAAUAAUAAUAAUAAUAAUAAUCUUAUUUUGGAGAAUAAAGAGACCUCUGGAUUUGAGGUGCCAUUUGGGUAGAAAGAAAAGACGUUUACACCGAGAAAUAGUCUGUGUUGCCCUGAAGGAGCAGAGGGAUGCAUCGCUGGAGGUGACCUACAGUUGAAGAAGACUCAUUAUGACAGACCUUGUCCUUCUUCCUUGUGGAAAGUGUUUCCUCUGCUGCUACUGCUCAUGAGACUCUUCCCCCUCCCUGUCCCAGGGAACCAAAGGGCUUUCUACCACACCCUUUCUUGCCCCCCGCCUCCCAUGUCUGCUGUGCCUUUGUACUCAGCAAUUCUUGUUUGCUCCAUUAUCUUCCAGCCGGAUACAGAGUGAAUAGUUAACCACACUUAGGUCAAAUAGGAUCUAAAUUUUUGUUCCUGCUCCGUGUAAAGAGGCCAGUGUUUGUGUGUUGCAAGCAGCCUUGGAAUAGUAACUCUUCUCAUUUGUUUGGGAUCUGGCCACCAAGUUCCAGAAUGAUACACGGAUCAGUGCAGAAGUUCAUCAGGCUCUCGGACCUUAGGGCUGUUGGAGAAGGCUUCAGCAGCAGAACUGAUGGUGAAGGCUCGUGUUCUCCAUCCUCAACUUUCUUUGCUUCGAUCAUACACAAGAAUACAUUUGGAAGGGCAAAAAAUGAACACUGUCGUUCAUUGCAGCCGUGUUUUGUGACACAGAUGCACAGUCUGCUGUGAAGACCUUCUCUCAAGUGGCAUUUGGGAGUCCAUGCCAGAUCAUGGUGCUUCAUGAGAGACUGACAGCUAUCAGGGGUUGUGGCACUUAGUGAGGACUCUCCUCCCCCAGUGUGUGCUGAUGACACAUACACACCUGACAAUAGCUUGAGUCUUCUCUGUUCCUUUUACUCUGUAGCCAACAUACACAUGAUUUAAAACCCUUUCUAAAUAUCUAUCAUGGUUCAUCCUUGUCCAAAUGCAGAGUCAGAGCUAUUUGUACUUCAUUAUUAUUUCCAAGGCGAAUAGUUGGCUUUCUUUUUGCAAAAAUAAUUAAAGUUUUUGUAUGUUGC